rnacentral:rRNA from 1 species
GAUGAACGCUGGCGGCGUGCCCAAUACAUGCAAGUCGAGCGAAUGGAUUAAGAGCUUGCUCUUAUGAAGUUAGCGGCGGACGGGUGAGUAACACGUGGGUAACCUGCCCAUAAGACUGGGAUAACUCCGGGAAACCGGGGCUAAUACCGGAUAACAUUUUGAACCGCAUGGUUCGAAAUUGAAAGGCGGCUUCGGCUGUCACUUAUGGAUGGACCCGCGUCGCAUUAGCUAGUUGGUGAGGUAACGGCUCACCAAGGCAACGAUGCGUAGCCGACCUGGGAGGGGGGUCGGCCACACUGGGACUGAGACACGGCCCAGACUCCGACGGGAGGCAGCAGUAGGGAAUCUUCCGCAAUGGACGAAAGUCUGACGGAGCAACGCCGCGUGAGUGAUGAAGGCUUUCGGGUCGUAAAACUCUGUUGUUAGGGAAGAACAAGUGCUAGUUGAAUAAGCUGGCACCUUGACGGUACCUAACCAGAAAGCCACGGCUAACUACGUGCCAGCCGCCGCGGUAA